UUGUUUUACACUAGAUCAGUUUACCACAUCUGGAGUUUGUUCUGCUGCUGAUCACAAAGCAACUGAGUUGGAGGAAUGUACAACCAAAAAAGUGCCAUACAUUCCAUACAGCCUAGCUACAUUGCAUAUCAUCAAGAUUGUAAAAGACAUGCAGCAAAUGAAAAACAGACACAUGAAGAUAAUUAGAAAACUAGAUGAUAUAAGGAAAGAAAAGCAGGAGGAGACUAUAGCUACUAUAAGGAAACAUUACAGUGAGAAAAUGAGGUGUCUGAAAUCCCAGUUAGAAGCUUACCAAGAGCUGAUGAACAAGAACAACAUACACUGGGAAGAUACAGUUAAGAACCUGAGAGAAAGAAACAGACAAUUGAUCCAAGAGAUCAAUCUUUACAAAAUGAAGCAAAGAACAGAGAACUGGAGAGAAGAAAAGGUAAAGAAACAGAGUUUGUAUUUUCUUUUUUGAGUCAGAUGGUGUUCUUGCUAUUCCAAUGUGUGCUGUUUGCCUACCUGACUGCUUUUAGAUAUGUACAUCUAAAUCAG
rnacentral:lncRNA from 1 species